AAAAGUAAGCAAGGGCGCAUGGCGGAUGCCUUGGCUCUCGGAGGCGAUGAAGGACGUGAUAAGCUGCGAUAAGCCGCGGGUAGGUGCAAAUGACCUUUGAUCCGCGGAUUUCCGAAUGGGACAACCCAAUAUCUUGAAGAGGUAUUAUCCUACUAAGUAGGAGGCAAACGCAGGGAACUGAAACAUCUUAGUACCUGUAGGAAGAGAAAAUAAAUAAUGAUUCCCCUAGUAGUGGCGAGCGAACGGGGACCAGCCCAAACCAUAUGUGUUACGGCAUGUAUGGGGUUGUAGGACCACGUCGUGGGACGACAGUUAGUGAGUAGAAUGAUCUGGAAAGUUCAGUCAUAGACGGUGAUAACCCGGUAUACGAAGCUAACUUAACCCUAGUGGUAUCCUGAGUAGCGCGGGACACGAGGAAUCUUGCGUGAAUCUGCCGGGACCAUCCGGUAAGGCUAAAUACUCCCGAGAGACCGAUAGCGAACCAGUACUGUGAAGGAAAGGUGAAAAGCACUUCGAACAGAAGAGUGAAAUAGUCCCUGAAACCAUGCGCCUACAAGCGGUCGGAGCAGCUUUAUGCUGUGACGGCGUGCCUUUUGCAUAAUGAACCUACGAGUUACUUUUUCCGGCAAGGUUAAGGAUCUUGAGAUCCGCAGCCGAAGCGAAAGCGAGUCUGAACAGGGCGGAUAGUCGGAAGGAGUAGACGCGAAACCAAGUGAUCUACCCUUGGCCAGGUUGAAGGACAGGUAACACUGUCUGGAGGACCGAACCGAUAAGCGUUGAAAAGCUUCCGGAUGAGCUGAGGGUGGGGGUGAAAGGCUAAUCAAACUUGGAGAUAGCUCGUACUCCCCGAAAUGCAUUUAGGUGCAGCCUUGAUUUAUACUAAUAUGAGGUAGAGCGACUGAUAAGAUGCGAGGGCUUCGCCGCCUAUCAAGUCUUGACAAACUCCGAAUGCGUAUUAGUUCUAUAUCAGGAGUGAGGGCAUGGGUGCUAAGGUCCAUGUCCUAAAGGAGAACAAUCCGGACCAUCAGCUAAGGUCCCGAAAUAACCACUAAGUUGAUCUAACGAAGUCAGAUUGCUAAGACAGCUAGGAUGUUGGCUUGGAAGCAGCCAUUCAUUUAAAGAGUGCGUAACAGCUCACUAGUCGAGGAGUUUGGCGUGGAUAAUAAUCGGGCAUAAGUGGUUUACCGAAGCUAUGGGAUGUUUAAUACAUCGGUAGGGGAGCAUUCCACUCUGCGUCGAAGGUGAAGCGUGAGCUUUGCUGGAGCGUGUGGAAAAGCAAAUGUAGGUAUAAGUAACGAUAAAGGGGGUGAGAAACCCCCUCGCCGAAAGACUAAGGUUUCCUGAUCAACGCUAAUCGGAUCAGGGUUAGUCGGGUCCUAAGGCUCAGCCGAACGGUGAGGCCGAUGGCAGAACAGGUUAAUAUUCCUGUACUACCUUAAAGAGUGACGUGGAGACGGAGGCGUGACAGUGCCGCGGACUGACGGAAUAGUCCGUUGAAGGGUGUAGAUGUUGAUCGGGGUAGGCAAAUCCGCUCCGAGAGUCGAACCUGAUAGUAUGGAGCGUUCUUCGGAACAAUCCAAUAGUGCAUGUAAACAUACUCCCAAGAAAAUCCGCUAAACUUAAUCUUUAAGGUACCCGUACCGCAAACGGACACACGUAGUCGGGUUGAAUAUACUAAGGCGCUUGAGUGAUUCACGGUUAAGGAACUAGGCAAAUUGACCCUGUAACUUCGGGAUAAAGGGUCCCCACUGUAAGGUGGGGCGCAGAGAAUCGGUCCAGGCAACUGUUUAACAAAAACACAGGGCUGUGCAAAAUUGAAAGAUGAAGUAUACAGCCUGACACCUGCCCGGUGCUGGAAGGUUAAGAGGAGAUGUCAUCGCAAGAGAAGCAUUGAAUUGAAGCCCCAGUAAACGGCGGCCGUAACUAUAACGGUCCUAAGGUAGCGAAAUUCCUUGUCGGGUAAGUUCCGACCUGCACGAAUGGUGUAAUGAUCUGGACACUGUCUCAACCGUGAGCUCAGUGAAAUUGUAG
rnacentral:rRNA from 1 species